ncrna:unclassified sequences Actino-pnp RNA
AUUGGUCCUCGGUAGUGGUUUCCGGGCAGUUAUACCCGUGAACUUCGAUCGAAGAUCCAU